CUGAACAACCCUGCAGUUGCUUAUGUGCUUAUUCACAGAUGAUAGCACAGAAGCAGAGACUUUAAGUCUAAACAGACCUAGAUUCAGAGCCGACCCGAUGCUGCUUGAAGAAGGCUGGAGGUAUGUUAAGGAGACAAGGGCUGUCAAGAAGCAGGGAUGUCUCUGGAAAGGGUGAGCAGCUGACGUCCUUUGUAAGUUCUCUGGGCAGCAUUGAUGGGAGGUGAAAACCUUGGGAAGAGUCUUGGUUUAACGUGGACUCUAAAUGGUACAAAGUAAUUAGGGCCUCCUUUGUUUCCAUAAACUAUCAUAGACACUCUUCUAAAAUUUCUGUGUUAUCCUAGCUGCUUUUCUAUGAUAUU
rnacentral:lncRNA from 1 species